UCUAAAUAAUCUUUCCCAAAAAGUCAUUUUUGACGCUUAUCGUCUCUAAAUUCACUAGCCCUGAUCUACGGACGUUACAGAUUGUGUCUACGGGAGUUCAACAGUGUGAGAUGAGUUACCUUCCAGUAGUGGUGGGUCUACAGCCACAAUGUCGGACCACAAGUAGGAGAUGUAUGUUAGAUGAUUGUCUUUGUGAUAUUCAUCUAGGUUUGCUACUACCUCAUAUGUUAUAUGCUGGCAUGAUACAUUAUAUGUGAUAGUGGUAGUAGGAGGGGAAUAGUCCCCAAGUUCGGUUGUUAGGACCGAAGGGUAGGUCGAGCACCCCAUAUAUGUCUGACAGUAUGUUAUGACAUAUUUAUAUGCUGGCAUGAUACAUUAUAUGUGAUAGUGGUAGUAGGAGGGGAAUAGUCCCCAAGUUCGGUUGUUAGGACCAAAGGGUAGUUCGGACACCCCAGAUAUAUCUGAUAGUAUGUUUAUGUUAUGAUAUAUGUGAUAGUAGCAGUAGGGGGUGGAAUAGUCCCCAAGGUUCGGUUGUUAGGACUGAUGGAUAGGCCAACACCCCCGAACGGCUUGACACAGGUAGGUCAGCACCCAAGAAUGGCUUGACACGGGUAGGUUGGCACCCCAGAAUGGCCGUACCGGGUAGGUCGGGCACCCCAGAAUUGCCCGACAGUAUGUAGUCUAUGUGAUUGAAUGGUAUGUGGUACGAUGGGGGAGCUCACUAAGCUUCGUGCUUACAAUUUUCAGUUUUGGUUUCAAGUACCUUGUUUUCAAAGGAAAGGAGCCGGCUCGAUCGUAGCGCAUCACACUAUGUUUUCCGCACAUGAGAUCUUUGUGAUUACACUCUGAUAUGGUUUUAUGAUAAUAUGUUUUGAUUAUUGACACUUUGGUUUUGACAUGAGAUAUUAAUAUGAAUGUUUUUAUACUGUUGGUAUUAUAUAAUAAUUUAAUUAAAACGAAAUUUUUGGUCUUGAAUUUUGGGGAUGUUACAAGUUGGUAUCAAAGCCUUGGUUUGAGGAAUUUGGGCACACUCUCGAGUGUGUCUGAUCUCAAACUAAGGACUUGGUAUGAAAAUUUUCAAAAGUAAAACCAUUUUAUAAAAAGGAGUUUGAAAGAAAUCUGAAAAGAGAAAAGAACUUUGAAAAGAACAAGGUGUGUGACGCGUGCAAUCAGCCGAGCUCAAGUAAGUUUUCCCCAAGAUACCCAUAUAUGUUAGGUUUUGUUAUGAUUAUGAGAACUGCAUGCUAGAUUAGUCCUGAGGAUCUAGGAGGAUGCCUUAUAUGCCUAUUGUAUGUGCUUGUAGACUUGCAUGCUAGUACCAAUCAGUCAGUGAUAGGAUAGCCUGUGUAGGUUAUACCUGAUUGUAUGAGCCUUUGAAUUGCAUGUGCAGACUCCUGAGUAAAGGAUAGAAUGGCUUGAUUGAAAUGUGAUGGUUAGAUUUUCCAUUGUCUGAAUGCUUCUUGGUUUGUGCUUUGUGGGAUUCUUAGUAAUCUGAGCUAUCUAUAUUCAUGAGAUAGCUAGUUGACAUUACUGGGAAUCUUUCAGCGGCUGAGGACUGGGUGAGUUCGGGAACCUAGGAAAGCCUAGGAUAUGUUUCAGUGGGUUACUAUUGAGGUUUAGCGAGACUUGGGUGCAUCAGUUUGAGGAAGUGACUUGGAGGAUUCGGGAGGAUUGCUGAAGAAAGUAUGGAUAGGUGUGGAAGGUAGUAUUGGGCCUGUACUACUGAAAGCACAUGAUCCAUACUCAAAUGAGUAAGAGUCUUGGAGAAUCCGAGAAGCUUCACGGAGGAUUUUGUGACCCGGUUUGGGGACAGAGGAUGUUCAAGUUGUUGCAGCUUAGCCAUUGGCAAGUGAGCUAGUGAGCGUGACAGGGUGUCAGACCCUGAAGGAUAUGACUUCCAAGAGUUAUAUAUGUGAGAUUGGUUUGGAGCGCUCUGGGAAAAGAGGGUUGUGCCAGGUGAGUAUAGUAAAGGGUCCCGGGAAGAGACCCCUGAAUUUUGAUCAUCGGGUGAAAGGCCAACGAGGCCGGAGUCAGUGCAGCACGUACGGGAAGGUGUACAAGGGAUUUUGUCGCUCCAAGGGUUUAGGCUGCUACAAGGUAGCGGGAUUGGUCAUGUCAGAAAAAGGUGAUAAGGAUUUUAGGGUAUGUUCGGAUCCUUGGAAUGUUAGUUCAUUAUGGUGUUAGGCACCCAAGAAUGAAACUCAGAUUCUAGUUCCGGCUCAGGAGCAGAGCCUUAACCAGACGAUGCGCGAUCGCAAAAGUUCAUCUCAUCGGAGAUUACUUGUGGAGUUUUGGGAAUGGACCCUGGUGGUCUUUUUUUCAGCCAAGGAAGGACUUUAGAAGCUCUCGGUAUUUGUCUUGGGGGCUUUUGGGCCAGAUUUGUUGCGGGGAAGUUAGGGGUUCAUUUGAAACCCAAGGUCUGUGGAUCCUUAGAAUCCUUCGGGAAGGAAGAUCCUAUAGUUAGUUCUUAUCAUCAAGAUCAGGAUUUCGUUAGAUGGUCACGGGUAUGUCAUCUUCUGCCACUUCAAAGUGGAUAUCAGGAACUUGUAACGCUUCAGAAUUGUGAGAGAUUUGUAUAGGUCAGAUCUCGGGUCGGUUUUCUGAUAGUGUUUGGGUUAUCAAGGAUCUUAUAUGCCAUCCUAUAUGUUGAAAGGUCCUUGAUGAACCCACAGAGGGACGCAUCUUGCAGAGUGGGUUCCGUACGUACCAUUAUCAUUCCGAAUCUUUGUCGAGAUCUAUGAAGAAGUGUUGUCUGGAAGAUCCUUGGUCGGGAAUUAGUGGGAUGGUUCCCUAGUGAAGUCAGAGUUCAGUGGUUCUAUCAUGGUUCAGGUGUGGUCGAAAAUGGUCUAUGGAUGAACUUGGGAGUUCAAGACACUACUGUUGCUAGGAAAGGACCAGUAGCAUGAAGACGGUGAUGUCAGUUGCGGAUGUUAGAUGCAUAAGUGGUUGGUCAUUGGAUGUUCAAGAGAAUUGUAUUUUCGUAUGGGCUGUGUUCGGUUAGAGUUCAGUGGUGCUGCAAGAUUGGAGCUAGGAAUGAGGACUCGUAAGCCAGAGUGAAGAUUAAGGCCUCUAGUUGUCAGCAAGGAAGGUAGAUCGAGGUGUCAGACUGGACCAGAUUUCAAGAGUACUCAUCAAGAUUGCCGAGGAUAGGCGAUCUCAAGGUUUAAAUGGUAAUUGAUCGUUAGCAUUGGUAAGCUCAGAUUGUUGGCAGUGGACUAUUAGGAAGUAAGAAGGAUUGGGAAUCCUUCAGUUCUCACGUGCAGUGAAGACUUAGUCGAAUCAAAGUGGGGGAGAGACUUUUUGUAAAGUUCUCCAAAUGUGAGUUUUGGUUACGCAAGGUGCAAUCUCUUGGGCACCUUGUCAACCAAAAGGGGUAUUCUGGUCGAUCCGGCCAAGAUAGAGGCCGCGAUGCAGUGGGAAAUUCUGAGGUCUCCAACUGAGAUUCGGAGUUCCUGGGUCUAGCGGGUCAUUACCGGAGAUUUAUACGGGACUUCUCUGAGAUUGCGGUUCCCUUUGACUCGAGUGACCAAGAAAUCGGUGGCCUUUCGUUAGGGGCCUGAGCAGCGGACAAACUUCGAGACUCUCAGACAACAAGUUUCGGGAACCAGGGUAGAGCUCCAGUUAGGAUUCAAGUUCAGUUAUGUGUUAGGUCGGGUGCGUGUGUGACCCAGUAUGGAGAGUGUUGUAACUCUGCGGGUGUAGCAGUAGCAUUCACUAGCAGUCAGAUAGUGUUAGAGUGUUGUAAGUCUGCGGGUGUAGCCGUAGCAUUCACUAACAGUCAGAUAGUAUUAGAGUGUUGUAAAUUUACGGGUGUAGCCAUAGCAUUUACUAGCAACCAGCUUAUGAUAAAGUGUUGUAAGUCUGUGGGUGUAGCCGUAGCAUUCACUAGCAGCCAGGUAGUGUUAGAGUGUUGUAAGUCUGCGGGUGUAGCCGUAGCAUUCACUAGCAGUCAGAUAGUGUUAGGGUAUUGUAAGUCUGCAGGUGUAGCCGUAACAUUCACUAGCAGUAAGAUAGUAUUAGAGUGUUGUAAGUCUGCGGGUGUAGCCGUAGUAUUUACUAGCAGCCAGAUUAUGAUAAAGUGUUGUAUGUCUGCGGGUGUAGCUGUAACAUUCACUAGGUUGGUAGACAGCACGAGUGCAUUGUUAGGACGCGGAAGGGACAGUAAUACCCACCAGUUCGGGUGUAGCAGUGAGGAUAUGGAAAUCCACAAAUUGGAUUUCAGAAUUACCUAGACGGAUUAGACCUGGUUAAGCCAGUGAUAAGACUGUAGAAGCACCACUACAACUACGAGAGCAAGGAAGCAGUGGACUGCUUAAGGUCAUUCGUGACAUAAGGCUACCAAUGGUCAUGUAGCAAUCAAUUUUAGCCUUGGUUUGGUGACGUCAGGAUUUGACACAUGGAACCGAUCGGUUAGAUCAAAAAGUUGUUAGAGUCACAGUGGCAUGAUAACUAGUUGCAACUAGUUCCAGAGAAGGAUUUCGUUUAGAAUUCGUGUGAGGCGACUAAGUGGGAGUCCUUUGGCUCCGCAACCAGGCCAGAACUCGGUAUUUCAGAUGAUCGAUGAACGAGUUGAGACCAGGGAGGUCUCGUUAGAUUUUUGAAAGCAGCCAUGUGACAAGAUACUUCUUUAGGCAAUUCAAUGUUCAGAUAAUUUCAGCGAUUGGCAGUAUUAGCAUUUGUGUAUAGGUUGCAAGUUCGGACGAAAUGACAAAUUGCAUGGGUUAUGCUAAAUGAUCUGCGGGGAUGAUUGGGUCUGUGAUUUCAGUUUUCUAUUGGGGGCCUCAGGUUAUCAGAAGUGGAGUAGUCAGUUGAGGAUAAUCAAACUGGAUUCAAUGAUAAUGAUUCAGUAUGAGUGGCCUGUCAGGAAUUCAGACCAUCUUGAGACAACAGAUUUUAGAUCGAGUAGAUGUUAUCGUGUCGCGAGGAAUUCGUUCACCUGCAGAUUUUAGGGCCUUGCGAAGAUUGUUCACGGCUACCCUGGGAAGGCUAGGGUGUGCCCAAGAUGGUGACCAUGUCACUAGAGUGGUUGGGCGUGUAAGGAAUUGUAAGGAACGAUUUCGAGGACGAAAUCUAAUGUAAGUGGGGGAGAGUUGUAACACCCUGUUUAUUAAGUAGAUUAAUAAACAAAAAAAUUUAAGAAAGAAUAGUAGCCCUAAAAUCCAUAAUAUUCAGUGAGAUGUUGGUUUUGGAAGCCAAAUGUUAUAAUUUGGAUUAUUCGGGGGCUAAAGGGUAAUUUCUGGAUUUGUUUUGCAAAAGAUUCUCAAAGCGGAGGGUUGUUUGGGUAAAUUAUGGAUCUUAGUUUGAAUGGAAUUUAAGGUGAAGGGUUAAGCAUGUAAGGUGACCAAACAUCAGGGACUAUUUAUGCCUAUAUGUGAAAAUUAAGCAUCUGGUCCCCUGUUAAGCGACAGAGCGUGAGGGAGGGACCUGUAUCUGCUCUUGUUGGCUCACCCGCAUCAUCAGAUUAUAAGGAGAAAAUCCUUAGAUGGAAUGAAGGGAGUAUAUGUUCUUAGGCAUUAAGAGAGAGGGAGAGUGAAGAGAAUUGUUAUAUAGGAUUUACGAAAGCAAAAUAUGAUUUGAGUGAUUGAAGAGUUAGAACACGAAGAGUAAAUAUUAAUCAGAUCUUAUAUUGAUGAAGACUGAUUACAGAAUAAGCAAAAAGGAUAUUUGGGUUUUAGAAAGUUAUCCUCUACUUCUAUCCUCAGUCCCUAUUUAUAGGGAACAUGAGUGUACACAAAAUAUACUAAGUCUAAACAUUACACUUCGCACAAAUAUGACUUAGUAAAAUAACAUAAAGAUGCGAAACUAUACAAACACAAUAUUCGACUUUUACAAUUUUGCUUCUACAAUCUCCCCCUUUGUAAACAGUCGAAGCUAUUCAGUCCAUAAGCUUUUGAACAGCAGAGUGAAUUGUCUUUCGCACUUCUCCAUACCAGGAAAUCACCUUCUUGUCUCCUUCAUUGUUCUUCUUGCAAUUGUUCAUAUGAACAAUAAAGUGCAUAUAUUACGAAGAAAUAUAUCUUUCCACCUCUGAGACUUGAAACAAGAAUUUCUUAGGGUUCCCCUUCAUAUCUCUUCCUGAAAACACCAUGCCGAAAGGUUUCAGGCAUAUUUCCCUAACAACAUAUUUUGAUAAUGCUGACUGGGAUAAGGUUUCUUCCCAAGGAACGUUCACUUCUCUUCCCAACACAGUCGCCAAUUCUUCAUCAGUAAGAGCCAAACAAUCGAAGUAAUUGUCGAUGUAUGUCUUAACAUGUGCGAAGCCUAUCUUGAACACUUCAGUCUCAGAGCCUUUGAGCUUAUUCUCUUCCAUAUGCUUCAAAAUCAGAGCCACUUGAAUCAAAUCGUUGCAGUUCAUCAGAGGAAAAUCAGCUACAGUGAAGUCAUACUGCUUGUUGUCUGCUCGAAUAACAAAAUAACGGAAAUUUUGAAGCAUGUCUUCAAACAAUGUAUCUUUCUUGAUUGUUAACACCUUUUUGAUCUUCAUUAAAGACCAAACUUCAUCCGGAUUCUUCCCCAAUACAGCAUGAAAUCUGAUUUUCAUGUGUAUAUAAUCAUCAGGAUUAUCAAACUUCUCGCUAAUCUUGUACUGAGCAGUAAUGAAGAGCAUUUCGUUGAUUGGAAAAUCUAGCUGACAAUUGUCUGGAUUCGCAAUAUCAUAACUUCUCUUUGGCUUCUUCUCGAAUUCAUACAUUUCCCUCCCCACAACUUUUAACUCUAUGGUUUCAUAAGAGUACAACUUCGCAGGAUCUCCUUUGUUCAUCGUGGGAGGAUCACUUGCCCUUUGCCUCAUGAUGCUUUGUACUUGCCUCAUCCUUUCCAACUCUGCCUCAGCCUCAACUUUCUUCUCCUCCUUCAAUUUUUCAUACAAUAUCCCUUUUCCUUUUCCCACUACAUCUGUUUGAGGUUGAACUCGAACCUCCUUCUUUUUCCUCAAUAGAAAUUCCUUCGGCAAUCGGUUUUGUGGUUAUUGUAGUUGAGGAAAUUGGCUUCGUAAGUAUGGGAAGAGAAGUUUUAAGCUGGGUAGAUAUAACUUUUCCCACUGUCUUCGCAUCCUCCUCUUUACUUGAAUGCUUCUCUCCCCCUUGCACCCCUGUGAAAGCAGGUGGGGCACUUUUCGGUAGUAAAGAGGUAAAAUUUGCGAUUGGUGCAAGAGCUUUCUGAAUUGCUUGUUCUAAAGUAUUAACCUUUAGAGACAAGAACUCAGGAGUGAGAAUUUGUGUAGAUGAAGAUUGCGAAACCACAGUUUUCAGCUCAGUCACCAACUUGAUCAGCUGAUCAAACUUCUCCUGGGUUUCUUUGUUAUUAGCUUCAAGGAUAGGGACAACAGUAACCUUUUGUACUUCUAUAGCAACCACAUCAAUCUUCUUUUGAACUUCGACAUUUUGAGAAUUAAUAUCCCUGAGCUUCUUCAAAAGUUCGGUUUUCAACUCUUCAAGCUUAAAGUUGACAUCCUCCCAAACUUUCUUCACAUCCUGUACAAAGAGAGCAUGACGUUCUUUUGCAACAGUUUUCAAAUCCUGGACCACCGAAGAAAAAUUACUCCCUUGAGCUUUAAUGCGAAGCUCAUUAUUUUUAUCAGACUGAUCAACCUUCUCCAUUAUACGCUUCUCAGCACCCUUAAGCAUUAUAUCAACCUCCAUUGCUGAGAUAGAAGACAUCCUGCCAGAAUCAACUUGCGACUGAAUAAAGACAUUUAACUUAUGAUUCAGGAUUUUAAAUUGCUUUCAUGUCAUAAGCAUAUGAUCAGGAAUAUCCUCCUCCUCUGAAUCAAAAUGAAUGUCUUCAAGUACUCCUCCAAAGGCUCCUCCUUCAGUUUCAUUAUCAGAUAAAGGUUGCGAAGGUUGAGGAGUUUCUGGUGAUUGUGAGGGAAAAAGGGUUGUAAAUGGGUUUUGAAGUGGAUGAUCAAAAAUUGAUGAGGUUGUGGAUAGAGUUGUAGAUGGAAAUGAAACAAGUGGUAAAGAAAUGGGUAAGGUGAUUGGUAAAGUGGUUUCAACACUCGUGAUAGGUGCCCCCGUAUCAGAUACGUUGACAACCGUAUCAGAAAUAGGUACCUCCUCAGAAACUGAUUUGGUAGUGACUAUUUCGAGUGGUUCUGUGAGUGGUGUUGUGGUAGAUAUUUGCGAAGUAGGGGUAAUGGAAAUGAUUGGCAAGGAAACAUUUACCGUAGAAGACACCGGUGGAGUUUCUGGAACUAUCUCUUCAUCAGAUGAUUCAUUGCGAAUAAUAAGCUUUCGCUUUUUCAACAAUGUUUGUUGCAUCUGUUUCGCAACAUCUUGAGCACGUUGUCUCUUAGAUCCUGGAGAGACCGGAGCUGGAAUAUUGCGAACGGUAACUCCUUUACUGCUCACCUCAGUCUUACGAAUCUUUUUCAAUACCCCAGACUUGGAAGGUAUUGUUUCUUUCUUCGAUUUAGAUGAAGUCUCUUCAAUAUGAACAUCUUCAUCCUGAGCUUGUUGCGAAGAUGGACCUUUCGCAUCCUUCUUUGUGGACUUCUUCUUCUUUGAUGGUGCAGCAACAUCUAAUAACACUCCAGUCGGCACCGAUUGAUCGAUUGUUUUCAAAUAUCUCACCAAGACCUUGUGAGUUUGAGAGACCUUGCGAAGCAUCGCAUCUGGAAUGCGAGCAACAUGAGUAAAAAUUUCCUCAUCAUCUUCCACUACCUUCGGAAAUUGAUAUAGAGAAAAUUCAGCAACUUCAACAUCCUCCGUUACUGGAAUCCCUUCUUUUUCAUAUACCUUCUACAGAAUUAAGCUCCAAUACCUUGCACACGAAAUCCCUUUUUCAGAAUUUGUGUUUUCGAGACUCUUAACAAAUUCCUUCCAUAACUGGGUUGCAUAAUCGACGCCGAUGUCAUAGUACAAGCCUAUAAUCAUGGCAUAUACUUCCAUUCGUCCCCUAUCCAAACCAACUGUGCGUCCUGUUAGGCAUCUGAGAAAAAUACCAAACAAGAAAUUCCAUAUGCACGGCAACCCAGACUUUCGAAAGUUACUUAUCUUCUCAAGCUCUGGUUGAUGGCUCAUCUCAUUGAACAUGUGAAUGAUUUGAGCGUUAACAGGUUUGAAAAAUGGAGGAUUGUUUGGAAUCUGCAAGAAUUCAAAAAACAUCUUCUUGGAAAUUUUUACCCGUUUGUUGUUUAUCAAGUUGAAGGUUAUCACAUCAGUUGUAUGGUUGUAUGAUGCCGUUGAAGCUGCCAAGGAUAACCAUGUCAUCGGAACAGAGAAGGAACUAAACAUGGCAGUGAACAGGGGUGAUCGUUUCAGGGCAACGAUGAGCAGCUUCAAGCCUUCGGGAUAAGAAGAGACAUUUGGAUCAACUUGAUAAUUGGUGCUUUGGAUUUUCAUCAGGGAUUGAGAAAGAACUUCAUCAGUGUUAGAUUGAGUGGCCGUCAUUGUUAGGGUUUGAAUGAGAUAAAGUUUGAUCAAGUUUGAAUCUUUGGAGGUUUGUGAGAGUUUUGUUUGCGUAACCGUAUAUAGUAUUCUUGAUCCCCCUUUUAUAGUUUACCCAAAUUGAUUUGAAAUUAAAACGGGAUGCAUUUAAUGUUAUCCGAUGUGGCACCUUGAAAAUCGGAUCAUGACUGCAAAAGAUAACCAUGCUUCAAAAAGUAACUGUCACAUCUCCUUGAAAACCGGAUAGAAUACCAACCAUCUUGAGUACACAGCCUGUCAAGUUUCCCGUUAUAGAAUCUGAACCGUUAAAACCCUUCGCAUGGAGGCAAAGCUCUUUCACUUUUGGGAUGUAAAGUGAAGUCAUAUGCCAGAUUUGCGAAAUCAUCAGCCUGAGUUGGUUUUACUCAGAGCCUCAAGGAUUUCGUGUGUGCAUUGUGUCAACAGAAUAAGAUGAGAAACAAAACAAAAAAAUUUGGAAUUCUGUGAUGUCAAAAAUUCAAUUUGACAUGAAUGCAGUUAAACCCCAGGCAAAGGUUGCUUCGUUAAUCAUCAAGAGAGAUAAUCAACAGCUUGUGUAGUUUCCCGUGAAUUACAAUCGAAUACUUUUAGAUAAGUAUCGAAGGGCUUCUUUUAAAAGAUAUUUUGGGUUGGUUUCAAAUUUCAUUACAUAUCAGCCUUAACAUAAGGUGAGAAAUUGUAAAUGAAAUUACUUGUAUGACCAGUGUAGUCAGUGACAAGUUGGCUUUUGAAAAUAUUUAUCAUGACUAGGAUUUGCGAAUAAAACUCACACAGAAAUCAUAUUCAAAAAAAAUUUGUUCUGGAUCUUGUUGGGUAACAAACAUUGUUGGUUGUGAAUAUUUGAUCAAGACCACACAUGCGAAUUGAAUAUGAUUUGAAGUUUCGAAAUUUUUGAUACUGAAACAAAGGUUUCGUAAAAAUCUGGAACAAAGUUCCCCGUCAAUUCCUUAAGGUUUAUGAUUUUUGGGUUUCACUUCCAUCACGGACUCAUGAUGUUAGAUCAUAAACACAGACUUGUGAUUUGUCUAGGUUUUGAUUGGUUUGAUCAAAGACCUCAAGGACAAAUCUCUUCAAAAAUUUGGAGUGUAAGAAUUGUUUGGUAUAAAAAGAUUGGAUAAGAAUCGAAGUGUACCUCUGUUAUAAUGGACAAAACAGAAAACUCUUAACUCAUUUGAGAAGAGUAAGGUAGCUCUGUUGACUUAUGCGAAUAUAAGCCUUUUUGGGAAGAAAUUUUCAUGUGAUAAUUUCAUUAAGGCUUUCUUUUCACACAUAGAGUCUUGUUGAGGCUUUUGGUCUACAUACAGCAGCAUGCUUCUAGGGACAUCCUAACUAGUUUUUAAAAGAAAUUUAAUACCUUCCCGUAGAAACACAUAAGUAUGACUUCUUCGCAUUUUAGCCCUGUAUUAAAUUCUCAGCACACAAAGUUUAAAGAACAAAGAAAACAAAAAUAUUUUUGUGAUUUUUGAAUUUUUCAAAAUUAAAAACAUAACAAAAUAAAAUCUUUUUGGAUUUUUAAUUUUUCAAAAUUAAGAACAUAACAAAAUAAAAUCUUUUUGGAUUUUUGAUUUUUCAAAAGUAAAAAAAAAUUCAAAAUUAGUCGUAAACCUUACCUUAGUUGUUAUGAUCUCAGAUGCGAAAAGAUGUGGAUGCGAAGCCAUGCGAAGCCUCUGAAUGAACAGUAACAUCUGAACAAAUUUGACUCAUAACUGCUGAACAAGACUUUUAGGCAUGAGUUUUUGAAAUUGAAUUCGCAUUAAUCAUCCCCAAACCUGCUAAAAUUCUAACAAAUGAUUUUUCAUCAAGAGGUUUUGUAAAAAUAUCAGCAAGUUGUUCAGUUGUUUUAACAAAAUGAAUUUCAAUAUUCCCAUCUUCCACAUGAUCUUUGAUAAAAUGAUAUCGAAGAGCAAUGUGUUUUGUCUUUGAAUGUUGUACUGGAUUAUGACAAAUGCGAAUUGCACUUUGCGAAUCACAAUACAAAGGAAUCUUUUUCAUGUUUAUUGCAUAGUCACGAAGUUGACUCUGAAUCCAAAUAAUUUGCGAAGUGCAAGCAGCAGCAGCAAUGUAUUCUGCCUCAGCGGUUGAUAUAGCCACACAAGUUUGUUUCUUUGAUUGCCAACUCACCAACUUCCCAUCCAAUAGUUGACAUCCACCACUCGUACUUUUCCUAUCCAAAGUACAUCCUCCUAGAUCAGAAUCUGAAAAAGCUUGAAUGAAAAACCCCGUUUUCGUAGGAUACCAAAGUCCUAAAGAAACUGUUCCCUUAAGAUAGCGAAAAAUAUUUUUCACUGCAGUCAAAUGAGGUUCUCUGGGAUUAGCUUGAUAUCUAGCACAAUUGCAAACCGAAAACAUAAUAUCAGGUCUACUUGCAGUUAAGUACAAUAAAGACCCUAUCAUGCUUCGAUAAAGUGUUAAAUCAACAGCAGGAGCAUCUAACGAAGGAGUUAGUCUUGUUCCUACUGCCAUUGGUACUCUGAGUUUCGUGCUAUUAGACAUUCCAAACUUUUCAAGCAAGUUCUUCGUAUAUUUUUCUUGAUUGAUUAAGAUUCCAUCCCUGUUCUGUCUUAUGUUUAAGCCAAGAAAAUUAUUAAUUUUUCCCAUCAUGCUCAUUUCAAACUGACUUUUCAUUAGAUUUUCAAAUUCAAUUGACAAUGCUGGAUCAGUUGAGCCAAAGAUAAUAUCAUCAACAUAAAUUUGAACAAGCAUUAGAUGACACCCAACUUUCUUGCGAAAUAAUGUGGGGUCAACUGAUCCUUGUUUAAAUUUAGAUUGUUUCAAGAAAUUUGUAAGUGUUGCGUACCAGGCUCUUGGUGCUUGUUUUAAUCCAUAUACAGCCUUAUCUAGGAUGUAAACAUGAUUAGGAUGUUCAUUGCUUAUAAAUCCUGGUGGUUGUUCAACAUACACUGUUUCUUCUAGUUCUCCAUUUAAGAAUGCACAUUUAACAUCCAUUUGAUAAACAUCAAAGUCUUUGUGAGCUGCAUAGGCUAAAAAUAUGCGAACUGCUUCAAGUCUUGCAACAGGUGCAAAUGUUUCUUCAUAGUCUAUCCCUUCUUGUUGCGAAUAACCUUUAACCACUAGUCUAGCUUUAUUUCGAAUAAUAUUGCCAUCUUUGUCGGUUUUGUUUUUAAAAAUCCAUUUUAAUCCGACAAUUGAAACAUCAGAAGGUUUAGAAACUAAUCUCCAAACCUUGUUUCGUUCAAAUUCAGCCAGUUCAGAUUGCAUAGCAACAACCCAAUCUGAGUGUUCCAUAGCAUCUUUUACUGUCUUUGGCUCUAUUUUCGAAAUAAAGACAUUAAACAUACAUAGUUCUUGGUUCGCAUUCAGUACCUCAUUUUUCGCACGAAUUUGAGCUCUAGUCAACACACCAUCUUGUGGAUUACCAAUUACCUGUUCUUUUGGAUGAUUUCUUGUCCAUUUCUCAAGUGGUGGAAAAUUAGGAUCAAAUUCUAAUGGUGCAUCUUCAUACAUAUCUUCAUUUUCAGAUCCUGCAACAGAAAAAUUAUCAUUUAGUUCAUGAAACUCAUCAUUUUCAUCAAGAUUAAUUGUCUCUGUUUCAUCAUGCUCCCCCUCAACAUGAUCUUCAUCUUGAUGCUCCCCCUCAAAAUGAUGUUCCUGUUGAUUCUGCGAAUGCUCCCCCUCAACUUGAUGAUUCAUAAUUUCAUUCUCCCCCUCGAAAGUUGGCUGACUAUCUUCAUGAAUACUCGUAUGUUCCUCCUCCAUACGAAUAUCAGUCGUACUUUCACAAGUUAUCGAUGUUGUAUUUAUUGUUGAAUCAUCAGUAUGUUUUGAGGAUUCUGAUGUUUGAUUAUCAGGAGCAUUAUUUUCUGCGUCAAUUGCCCUGUCAGGAAUUCCGAAAAUUAAGUCAUAAUCAAAAUCAUUGAUUUCAGAAUUAUCAAUUUGAGUAUUUGAAUCCACAAGUAUUGAUUUAUUUUCAAAUUUACUAUCCAUUUGUUUAAGAUAGUAAUCAUCAAACGUUAAAUUGAAAGUUUCUUCAACUUUUCUUGUUCUUUUAUUAAGCACUCUGUAUGCAACUGAAUUCUGUGAAUAUCCUAAGAAUAUGCCUUCAUCAGCUUUAGCUUGGAACUUGGACAAAUUAUCUUUGAGAUUCAUGAUAAAGCACCUGCAACCAAAAACAUGAAAGAAUUUUACAUUAGGUUUCCGAUUAUUGAUUAUUUCAUAUGGAGUAACAUUGAAUCUUCGAUGAAUGAAUGAUCGAUUCUGAGUAAAACAUGCAGUGGACACUGCUUCUGCCCAAAGAUAUUGAGGUAGAUUCGCAUAUGUUAACAUGGUCCUGGCUGCUUCGCAUAGAGAUCGAUUUCUUCUUUCAACAACACCAUUUUGUUGUGGAGUAUAUGGUGAUGAGAAAUUAUGCGAAAUGCCUUUGCUUGUGAGAAAAAUAUCAAGAGUUUGAUUUUUAAACUCAGAACCAUUAUCACUUUUAAUUUUUCGUACAUUCUUCUUCAGACUAAGUUCAAUCUUUUUGAUAAAAUCAAUCAUCGUCUGAGCAACUUCAGAUUUCAACCUGAGAAAAAACACCCAUGUGAAUCGAGAGAAAUCAUCUACAACAACUAAAAUAUACCGCUUUUUAUUGAUUGUUGCAACAGUCGACGGUCCACAUAAGUCAAUGUGAAGAAGUUCCAAUGGUUCUACGAUUUUUGAAUCUAUCACAAUCGGAUGACCUUUUCGAUGUUGUUUUCCUUGUUCGCAAGCUGCACACAAAGAAUCAUUGUCAAAUUUUAGUACUGGUAACCCUCGAACUAAAUCUUCAGUGACAAGUUUAUUAAUAUUUCGAAAGUUCAAGUGUGACAAUCUUCUAUGCCAAAGCCAGCUGAGAUCAUUAGAUGCUUUUGAUAGUAAACACACAGCAGGUUUUCCCACAAUUGGUUUGAUGUCCAGUGUAAACAUAUCACCAUAUCUUUUGGAUUUGAGAAGUAUUUCAUUUGACUUCGCAUUUGAAAUGAUACUUCCUUCUUCAUUAAAUACAACUUGAUUUCCAGUACCAACAACAAGUUGUGACACGCUUAUCAAAUUAUGUUGAAGUCCUUCAACAUAAGCAACUCUGUUCACAGUGAAUUUUCCAUUUGUGACUUUCCCAUAGCCUUUCACUUGACACUUGUGAUUAUUUCCAAAUUUGACUACUCCAGCAUUUUCCAAGCUUCUAUAAUCUCGCAAGUUUUCCUUUCUUCCAGUCAUAUGACGAGAGCAACCACUAUCAAUAUACCAUUUCGUAUCAUAUUGCUCGUCACACAUCACCUGCAUUUAUUGAAAGAAUUUAGGAACCCAAGACUUGUUGGGUCCAUCAUUAGUAGAAUGAAACAAAUUCUUGGAAUUUAAAAACCAUGUUUUCACUUUGUUUGUGACAGAAUCCAUUAUAUCAACAUCAUCAGAUCUAGAUAUUGAGAUAUAGUCAUUCAAUAGUUUUGGAUUUCCAUUGAUUGUAAUCUUAUCCUUCACAACAUUCGCAUUUUUGAUAACUGGUUUCCAUUUUUGAACCGGAACUUGCGAAUUAUGAGAUGUUGAACUAGCAGUGGAAGAGUUAUUUGCGAACUUAUCAAAUGCAUUCUUGAUUUGUUGCUCUGAAAACUUCCCACUUUGAUAUUUUCUUCCUUUCCCUUCAAACCAACGAUUGAUCGUACUUACAUCAGAUUUUCCUUUUGUAUAUGAAACUUUGGUCGGUUUUGAGACUGAAGGAUUUGGAAAAUUUGGUUGUUUUGGUGAAAAUUUCACUUUUGCUUGAGUUGAAUUUUUCAAACUUGAUGAAGUAUUCGUGAAUUUGCCAACAUUUUGAAACUUUUGAUUAUUUACAAAUUUUUGCGAAUUCUCAAAUUUUCGAUUGUUGUCAUAUUUGCGAACAUAUGGAAUUUUGUCAACAGAAUUUAUUGGUUUAUGAAAACUUGAAUCUGUUUGUUUAUUUUUGCUUUGAAAUUUUGAUGAUGUUGUUUUUGAAAUUUGUUCUUUUUCAGCUCUUGGUUUGUCAUUAGACACAACUUGCCAGAAAAUUGCUUUUCUUGCUUUUCUUUUUGAAACAUUAUUUUCUGUUGAAUAAUUUCCAACCAUCAAUUUGAAUUCAUGAGAAUUUAAUUUCACUUCAGCCUUUGAUUUUUCAACUUUUUCAAAAAUUUUGUUUGGUUUUUCACCUUUAACCACCCAUUUUUGUAAUGAUUUUUGUUUUUGAAACACAUAAGAAUUUUGAGUUAAAUUGUUUUCUUCUGUGUUUUGAUUUGCGAAAAAACCUUCUGUGGUUGACUUUAGAUUAUCUUUUUCAAUCAUUUUGUUGAAUUCAGGAUGAACUUUCUCAGCAUUUCCAGUAGUGACAAAAACUUGAUUUGGAAAAAUGGUUUUAUCAGUACAUACAAAAUUUGGAUAUACCACUGUGUUGGUUUCCAAAUAAUGUGCGCCUUUGUCAUUUAAAAUUUUGUCAAAUUCUUUUGUAUUUUCAAACACUUGAUCAACCACAACUCGUUGAGGUGUUUCAUUUGAAUCUUUCUUUUCUUCUCUGUUUUCUUCAUUAUCAUCAGAUUUCCAGCUUUCAACUUCCACAUUAUCAAACUUACAAUGUUGUGAAGUUAAAGGUUUAUCAAUUUCAUCCUCUACUAUCGAAUCAACAAUAAUUUCUUUACCUUUAAUCUUAGAUGUGAUAUUAACUAUUGACAAUUGAGAACAAUCAACCUCUUCUUCCUCUUCUAUCUCACUGAUUUCACUCACAUUAUCUGAAUUUUCAUCAAUAUCAGCAUAAUUGAAUUGUGAGGCAAGAGUUGAAUUUUCUGUUUUCUUUAAGAUUUUCACUUGUUCACUCUUUGUCAAACUUUCAUUGACAAUGUUAACUAACUCAUCAGCAUUCAGAAAUUCAUCAAUUUUGACAAUACCAUAUGUAUAUCUAUCAUCAGGUAUUUUGUCAAAUUGAGCAAUUGUACUUUCACAAUCAUAAGAAACAACAUCAACUUUUUCACGUUCAUAUUCAAGAAAAGGUAACAGUUUCCUAUGUUGUUCUUUGCUAAUGUCAGAAGAAUGAUGUAAAGCAGUUAAUUUUGCAUAUAGCCGUUUGGCAGAAUUACAAUAUAUGUUCCUUUGUGCUAGCAACAACCUAACAUCAUUUGUAAGAUUAUUCCUAUCACAAUCUAUAUUUUUGAUCUGCAUUUCAAGUUUUUCUACUCUGCUCCUCUUUAUUUCUAAUUCUCUCCGUGUCUCACCUAGUUGCAUAUUUAAUUUUUGAGCUUCAGUACUAGCAGACACAAUAACAGAAUCAAAAUAAGCCACAGUUUCAUCAAAUGAAACAAUUUCAGCAUCAUAAGCAGAUAAAGGAAUAUUAAAAGAUUCAAGUAUUGCACGUACCUUGGUUGUCAUGGGUGAUUUGUCUGUGGAUUUGGAUACGAAGCACCUUCCUGAAAUUUCCUCUUCGCAAUCUUCAAAACUUGCGAACAUUGCUCCAUGUGUGGGAUGCCUCAUUUCCUCGUCAUCAGAUCCUGAAGACCAGAUCUGAUACGUACCACUUUCUUCAUUAUCAGUUUCACCUUUCGCAACCAAAGACACUCCUUUGGUCUUAGCACGUAUCUCUUCAAUCUUUUCAGAGUAGUAUGCUUCAUCUUUAACUUUUUCCUUCUUCUCUUCUUUCUUUCGCAACAUGCAAUCAGCUGCAAAAUGAUUCGCACCAUUGCAGUAGUGACAGUAAAUUCCUGAAUCACCUUUCAGCUUCUUCUCUUCUUUCGCAUCUUUUUGUUUCUCAUCAGCUUUCUCCAAUUUCUUCCUCUCCUCCCCUCCAGUUCUUGUGACUGCAUUCUUCACAUCACUAGCCUUUCCUUUUGGAUUAAAAGGCUUUUUGAAAAACUUCUUAACUCUGUUGUUUGAAUAGAAUGCCACAGCUUCAUCAUCAGAGUUCAUCAAAAAUCCUUCAUCAUCUGAACCAUCUUUUUCAUUAACAUCAACUUCUGAUACCUUUGAAACAAGAGCCAAAGGACCUCCAAUACUCUGUUUUGAUUCUUCAUACAUUUCUGAAACUUCACUUUCAUGUGUUUUCAGCUGAUUGUAGAGAUCAUUCAAAUGAGUUGUAUCAAAACUCUGUUGAUUCUUAAUCAUCAUGCUCACACUUCGCCAUUCCUUGCGAAGACCCAUAAUGAAAGUUAAAUUGAACUCCAUGAGAGACCUAGUGAUUCCAUACCUAUUGCAGCGAAACAUAAGCUCAUUCAGACGAUCAUAGUAAUUUUCAAGAGUUUCAGCAUCCUUUUCUCUGAAUUCUUUCAGUUCAACUAGACAUUGCUUCACAGAAUUGAUCUUCGUCUUUUCGCUACCUUGAUACUUCUCUUUUAGAGUGUUCCAGAUGUCCUUUGCUGUUUUAAAACUACGAAUGUAAUUAUAAACCACAGGAUGAAGAGCACCUCUUAGUUCCCUCAUGCACCUCUUUUCAUUAUUCUUCAACCGUUUUUGUUGAUCAGCAACUUCAGCAGAUGCAGUAGAAGGUCCAAUUGGUUGAACAUUAGCAGGAGCUUGCACUGUUCCAUCGAUAUAAUUCCAAAGUUCUUCAUCAAUUCCAUUUAAGUAAUCUUCCAUUCUAUCAGCCCACUGAUCAUAGUAUUCUGGAAUUAACAUCGGAAUUUUGGUUGAGGAACCAAGCAAGUGAGAGAAGGAAGUCAUUGUAUUCAUGUUGAAGUUCGCCAUUGAUGUACACAUAAAUUUUCAGAAAGCUUGAAAAACUUGAUGAAAUUGAGAAUUGAUCAAUUGAAUUGAUCACAAAUCACUGAUCGAUUACUCGACUAAACAAUUCAAAGACAAAAUCAAUUCAAAUCUGAAGAUCAAAUUUGAUUUUCAAAACCAAAAUGCGCGGAAAAUUUUGAGUAAAGUUGCAACUCAAAAGCAAAUGAUUCUAACACGAAAAUCAGAUCGAUGCAGUUUGAAUCCUGCUCUGAUACCAAUUGAAGAGAAUUGUUAUCGAGAUUUACGAAAGCAAAAUAUGAUUUGAGUGAUUGAAGAGUUGGAACACGAAGAGUAAAUAUUAAUCAGAUCUUAUAUUGAUGAAGACUGAUUACAGAAUAAGCAGAAAGGAUAUUUGCGUUUUAGAAAGUUAUCCUCUACUUCUAUCCUCAGUUCCUAUUUAUAGGGAACAUGAGUGUACAAAAAAUAUACUAAGUCUAAAGAUUACACUUCGCACAAAUAUGACUUAGUAAAAUAACAUAAAGAUGUGAAACUAUACAAACACAAUAUUCGACUUUUACAAUUUUGCUUCUACAGAGAGAUGGAGUAAGAGAGAGAGAGAGGUGUGAAAGAGUGCCAUGACCAAGAGGAAGUCAGAGAUGAGGAGGCUGCCGCCACAAGGCUAUGGCGUCCUUCGGAGCUCUCACUGGAGUAUUUGGUGAGAGAAAGAGGUGGUGGUAGACUAGCGAGAAUGAAAUCAAUCCUUCAGCACCCACUCUACUCGACACCGUGAACCCGAUGGGGAGGCGUCUUCUAAUGGUUGCGUUACUCUCCGACAUUUGCAUGGGUCUCCGACGAAUCCCGUAUGUUCAGCAGUGAAAGUGGGUAAGAAUCGAUUCACCCUUUUUAUUUCUUAUCUCUCAUUGGUGAUUUCGAUUAGAGAGAGAUUGAUUGAUGGGUUUUAAUCCUAUUUCUCUGGUCUAAUGAUUUUCCAGCGAGCUGUAUCGCCGACGGCGGUGCUAAAAGCCAUUAAUGGCAAUGACGAUUAGCAAGGUGAUGACCUUUGUUUUUCUCUUGAGCAAAUCACUGUGGCGCCUUCAAAGAAUAAAGAAACAUGAGAUGGAUUUGAUACCCUCAUUCCUCUCCAGAGACGAUAAGGGAGACUGUUGAGUGCUUCCAACCACCGGUCACUGUGUGCAGGAAAUGGGAGCUUCACUGGAGGUGAGGCUACCACUGGAGUGGAAGUGUGGAAUUGGUCAUGGAGGGAGGCGUUGUUUGGCAUCGAAGCUGGAAGCGAUGAAGUUACUGGCUCCCUUAACUCCCCUGUUUGGAUACUUAGGCCCGAUUUCUAGUGGGCUAACGAAUUGUUUAUUGGGCUGGUAAACCAAUUGGCUAGAUGAUGAAGCUAUCUAGUAUUGGACUUGGAAUUUGGAUUGCAAUAGCAAGGCCUUGUUUUCGGUUAAUUAUAUUUUUAUCAUGUGAAUACUUAAUAUGGACAUUGUUUAUUUAAUUAAGGUUUGGAGUAAGUAUUUAUAUGAAUAUGGUUAUUCAAUGCGGACCAGGUAAUAUUAGAUAGCGACAUUUAAAUGUGAUUUACGUUGAGGAGAUGGCCAAUUAUACAUAAUUGAGUUUAUCUAAGACAUAUCCUAUAACAAAUGAGUUAGGGUGAAAUAAGUCUACCCAAGCAGUUGGGACAUUGAAUUGAUCUGGGGUUAGACACCUUACUUUUAAAAAAGACAUUUAUAAUAUUUUAUAUUGAUCUAUGUAUUAAGCCCAAUCACACCAUAUGAUUUAUUUAGAAGAGUGAUGGACUUAAUGGAUUAAGUCCUUAAUGGGUUAAGUGAGAAACACUUAACCCUAAUCGUCAUUUUAUGUGAAACCCUAAUUUCACUUGGGUUUAUUGUUGGGCCUUUCUAUUAGGCCUUCAUGAUUAUGUGAUAUUGGGCCAUUAGAAUGUCGAAUGUUGGUCUGGACUUUUGGUUGCGCCUUAGAAUAAGACCAUAUAGAGGUAUGGGCCCAAUUUGGAAAAUUGGGCCAUAUGUUGGGCUUUGUGUAAUGGUUGGACUUUUGGGCCUAUGGAUUGGGCCUUAGGCUUGAACAAAGCCAAGCAUGGAGUAAUGUAGUAAUGACCCGAAGUAUGUACUUAUAGUGAUGUAGUGGAACCCAAUUAUUAAUUAGGUGAUGGUUUGAUAUUGACAGUUCGGGAAGCUGUUAUCCAGCAGUUGGGAUUGUGUCUCCGGGACUUCAGUAGUGUGAGGUGAGUUACCUUCCAGUAGCGGUGGGUCUACGGCCACAAUGUCGGCCCACAAGUAGGAGAUGUAUGUUAGAUGAUUGUAUUUGUGAUAUUCAUCUAGGUUUGCUACUACCUCAUAUGUUAUAUGCUGGCAUGAUAUGUUAUAUGUGAUAGUGGUAGUUGGGGGAGAAUUGUCCCCAAGUUUGGUUGUUAGGACCGAAGGGUAGGUCGAACACCCCAUAUAUGUCUGACAAUAUGUUAUGACAUGUUUAU
rnacentral:lncRNA from 1 species